UUUACACCAACCUGACGGCGUCGUGCGUACCGUACAUUAUAAUGCUGACAAGCACAGCGGAUUCAAUGCACAAGUUGAAUUCUCCGGACACUCACAACAUCCCCAGCCGGCUCAUCAUGCUCCACAGUACCAUCAUUAAGUGAUUUUGGCAUUAAGUUUACUUUAAAAUAAUAUUAGAAUUAUUCCUACACAUAGUGUUAGUUUAAAAUAAUAAAACAAAUAAUAUUUCA
rnacentral:misc_RNA from 1 species